rnacentral:lncRNA from 10 species
UUCAGUUUGAUCUUGACAACAUGCUUGUGGGUAGAGUAGUGUUGGUUUUGCCAACUUCAUUUGAAAAAGAGAAGGUUGUCCUGGUUCUCGUGGUGGGGCUGAAAUGAAGCUAGCUGGCUGCAGCUGAGUUUAGGGAGCUUCAGAGUUAAGUUCCAGUUAUCAGUCGUUAAGGAGCGAGUUCUUUGCUCAGAGCAGGCGAUGGAGCUGAAACCAGAGCGCAGCCUGUGUAGGACCAAGGGACAGAUGCCCUGUGUCAAAGCCAACGAGCAAGAGGGAGCUGUGGGUGGGAGAGCCAUUGUGGAGACUGGCAGCAGUUCCGGGUUUUAGGUGUAGAACAGGUCAGAGUGAACGUAAUGAGGCGAUGUGUGACAAAGGCUGCCACAAGUGUAAAAGGAUGAAAAGAACCCUUUACGUUGCCCUGGCUACAAGCUUUAGGGAUAGAGUUAAUGAUUGAUGAUACCCUCAGAAGGCCGAGAAACAGAAGCCAAUGAAAAUAAAAAUGUUCAUUCUUAACUUACUGAGUUACAUAUACAAAUAUAUUACUAUAAUAAUAUAUGUUAUUCCAUUAUUAUAAUAUAUGAAAAUAAUACAAUAUUCAUAAUAAUAAUCUAUUAUCAUAACAUAACAUAUUAAAAUAAUAUAAUAUCUAUAAUAAUAUUUAAUAUAUUAUGCAUAUUCGAGAGAAAGCGAGAGCCUGCCCUGUAUAUAGUAAUGUGCUAGGUUCUGGUCAUUUAAAAAACAAAAACCUACGUUUCUAAUGCAUAUGUCUGAGAUUGAAUUUAAUUAUGAUGCAAUUGAAAAUCCAACCAGGGCAGUCUAUAAAGAUCUCUGUUCUCCCACUGGAGCUAGUCUAAUCAGGACAGGGAAACUGUGAGAGCAGACAGAGGUGUCUCCAGGACUCAGCGGGAGGCGGAGGUCUCAGCAGGAGGCAGACAGCCGCUCCAUGGAAGGGAUCAGCAUGGACUGGGAUCCUUUCUAAUUUUCCACCUCUCAUCUCAGCUCAUCUCAGCUCCUUUUAUUUAAUCCCCUCUUUCAUCAGGCUUGCUGCUGCUGCUUUUUUUUUUUUUUUCCUGCCAUAUGGAAGAUAAAAACAAAUGCUCACUCCCUUGCCAAACUUACAAAUGUAGACGGACCAAAUGCAUGAGGAAUAUACUCCGCUCAGCUGAGCUUGGGUAAAAAAUGAAGUCACCCUGGAGAAAUGGAACCACAUGAGGAAGCACAUGGAGAAGCCUUUCAUGCGAGUCAGUGGAAAAGCUGCCAAAAUGCAGCUGCAAUUCUGCAAGCUUUCAGGACCAUAUGGUCCCAGGAUGUAAUUCUUGGGUGACCUGACUUAAUUAAUGGAUGGAAUCUCAAGGGAUUGAGAUUCAGCUUGGUCUUUCAUAUUAAUCCAUAAUUAUAACUUCUCUCAAAUCAUCCUAUGAUAAUGCUGGACAGAAAGAGCUCUAGGAUGUGCUCUUUGGUGAAGACUGGACUGUAAGUUAAGCAAAUCUGUUCAUUGAUAGUUAACUCUAUUUUAUUUGCUAUAUCAUUUUAAGUGACUUUUACAUGUUAAUAUUUUUUAAAAUUAUCCAAGAUAGCACAAUUACUUCCUUUGGAAAGUGAGAGCCAUAUUUUUUCUACCAGGGUUACCCGUCAUUCCUUAACCUUGUCCUGUCCUUUCCUGAGUUCCUCCCUCGUCUUGUUAGGGGACACAACCUGUGAACCUCAGUCUACUAGUUUAGGAGUGAGCUCCUGACAAGAAAGUGCCAUAACCUAUGAUAUGUGACGUAUUUCACAAAGUUACACUGAGACAAUUUUAUAUGUACUCAGUCUUGUGAAUCAGAGGCCAAAAAGAAGAUGAGUAGUUGGGGGGUGGGAACUUGAGCAAGUAGUUCAUGGAGCUUUGAGAAUGAGACAGGCUUUCUGUAGCAGUGGGUACAGGAAAGUGGAGAAUGUAAAGAUCCAGACAUAACUGCUAAGGAGAGAGGGACCAAGAGAAGCAGAUGCACAGAGAAAGGGAGACAUCAUGAGUAAAAGAAAUGAAGAUAAAAAUUGCUAUUUUAGUUUGCUGGGGCUGCUUUAACAAAAUAUCAUAAACUGGGUGGCUUAAAAAACAACAGAAUUUAAUUUGUCAUGGUUCUGGAGACUGGCAAGUCCAAGAUCAGGGUGCUGGCAUGGUUGGCUUCUGAUGAGGGCCCUCAUCUGUGUUGUGGAUUGCAUACUUCUGGCUGUGCCCUCACAUGGUGGAAGGGAAGAGGGAUCUCCCUGGGGUUCCUUUCAUAAGGGCAUUAAUCGUAUUCAUGAUGGUUCCACCCUCAUGAUCUAGUCACCUCACAAAAGCCCCACCACCUCCUCAUUACUUUAGGGGCUAGAAUUUAAACAUAUGAGUUUUGAGGAGACACAAACAUUCUGACGAUAGCAAGUAAUAGUCUGUGAGCAGCCUGAAGUCUCACCCUUCCAAGCAUUUCUUCAUUCAACUUUCCCAGAGUCAGGGAGAUGUGUCUACAUUGUUUUACAUCAGAAAAAUAUGGGCAAAAAAAAAAAAAGACAAGAAAAGAAAGCAAGCAUGCAAAGAUGUACAGACAAAAGCAAAACUGAUAGACACUAUCAGUGCAUUAAUGGUGAAAGAAAGCAGCUGUAAGUCCCAAACUCCCAGUUCCCAGGUCCAACAACUAUGUACUUUUUUAUGUCUAUGACUUAGACUGCUAUGGGAUCCUUGCAGUGAGCUAGCUCAAGAGGAUCUCUCAUCCAGUAGAAGAAAAAAAAUCCUCAUUAAUUAACAUGUUUGUUUUACUAGCAAAAACAACAAAGGUAUAAUUGUGAAUUAUAUUUACUUGUGAAAAUAUAUUAUGUAAAUAAUCCUGUUACUUACCUGUUGCCUUCUAUUUCAAAUACUAUAUUUUAGUUAAACCUCACAAAUCACCCUUUUUGGAAAGAGGAAAUUGAGACACGGUUGUGUUUAUUACUGCAAUCAAAAGAUUUAUCUAACAGCCCCUCCUGAGUAGAUCAGAGAGAUGUUAUAUAGUUUAUCAUAAAAUACCUAAAGGAAUAAAGUAGAAAACUAUUGUAGUUUAAUCCCAAAGAUAUGUUAAAUUAAACCUGAAUAAAAAGUGAUAAAUAAAAGAAUUGACUGAGC